UCAACUUGGGACCAAAAUCUUUAGGCCCAUGCGCAUGAAACCAAGAGAGUGAGAGAAGUCAGGCUGAAUUCAUUCCAAUGUUUUCAUAUCAUGUGUCUCACUCCUCAGCUUUGGUUUAGGGAAAAUCCGUCGUGGAAGAAUUUGCCACCGGCAGCGCGAAGAUCGAAACAUAAUCAAAGGUGGAAGGGUAAGGUUGAGCAAGGAUUGAAGACUUGGAGUUUUGGCAACAAAAUCAAGAGUUAUGAAGAACAAAACCAUGGAUAGCAUGGAAGUGAAGAAAGUUUUGUAACUAGGAUUAGGAUUAGUAGAGUUAACUUUGGUAAAAUGGUUGAUCAAAAAGUCAACAGUUGACCAAAGUCAAUUGUAGGUCCAAGUUGUGAUAUUUUUUGUGUAGGUAUUGAUUUGUGCAAUGUAAUUUGAUAUGAACCAUUGUAUGAAAAUGAACUUAUAACUUGAUCUUUAAAUAAAUUUUCCUCUAAUUUAUGACCUUAA